rnacentral:misc_RNA from 1 species
GGGAAAGAUUUUAAAGGGAAAGUUUCAAUAUUGAGUAGAAAACCUAUUAUUGCAGGUGAAAGUGACUUUUUUUGAAAUAAAAUUUAAGUUGAGUGAUUUUAUUUUGAGAAAUUAAAGUUUAGGGAUGAAAAUAAAAAAGCUCCUAAAUUCAAGGACGAUUGGUGCAAUUAACCCUUCAAAGUUAUCAACAGAAGCCCGGUCUUAGCCCCUAAAUUUUCAACUCUCGGCCUUCAACCGGAUUUGGAAGGUUAGUCAAAGGUGGCCCAAUACAAUCUUACCGGAAUAGAAUAAAUAAA